CAAUGAUGUCAAGUUCGGCAGCAUGUUUAUUACUUCCGGAUAUUAUUCAACGGUCCAACUUUCCCAAAACGGACUUGUUUCCCCCUACGAAUUACCUACCAUGCAAUAUCGACAAGACAUAACAUAUUCUUACAGCGUAAAUCUCUCUGUUGCAACCAGCUGAUGAAGAGUGACCACUUCUAUGAAUAUCCUGUCCCACAAUGUUGAACUCUGUUGGACAGUUGUUAGGUGUCAUAUUGGUCUUGUGAUGUUAAAAUGUGAACAGCAUGAUGAAGGGGACUGUUUGAUUUGGGAUUUAAAUGGGACCAGGAAAUGUAUUGGUCCAGUCAUGAUGAAACACCUGUUGUGAAUUUUGCCAUUCAGUUCCUUGUUAGUGAACCGCAAAUUGUGCAAUAAAUUGUAAACCGUUGGGCGUGCAUUCAAAAGCUUAGAGGUUAGUCUAUCAGUGGUUUUGAAACUUUUAGUACCUAGAACCACUUCCAAAACUAUUCCAUCUAGUGACCAAAUAACCCCAUAAGCCAUAGCAAGUUUGCAGUCACAUUAUCAUGUUAAAUUUAAAUAUUUUUAAAUAGAUUUCAAUAAUCUAAGAAACACAAUUAUUCUAUGACAGAAGGUCUGAAAUAUUCAAAGCUGUUUUACUGUCAUUGCACUGUACAAUGCAGCCAAAAACAUUAAUACGUCAUUUGUUUGCAUCGUUUUAUUGACGUGUUGUAUUUUCCAAUUUUCUCAGAUCACAAACAUUUUGAUUCCAUGUAGACAACCGUAAUCACCAGUAGCGGUCCAGGUUUUUUGUUCGUUUCUUUGCAAGACAGUAGAGUCAAAGGUUCGUCAGCACUACAGAGCACAAAAUUGACAAUUGUGAUUUUAGGUUUUGCCCAAGCAUCACCAAUACUCGCGUGGAAGGUGUAUUUUCUUGCCUUUACUUUUUGUCAUGGAAGGCCAACGUUCUUGUAUCAACCCCAGAGACAUUUGUUCAGUAAACAAUCUGAAGACACCGGGAAAUGUUUACAUUUCUUCCUCGAAGAAUAUUUGGA